CUGCCCAGUGCAACUAGAGUAAUGUUUGUUGUAAACGGCGGCGUUAACGUGAGCGUCCUAAGGUAGCGCGAUAAUUUGCCCUUCAAUUGAGGGAUGGUAUGAAAGGGUUAACGAAGAAGGUGCUGUGUCUGAAAAUUUAAUUUAAACUAACUUUAAGGUGAAGAGGCCUUUAUGUAAAAGAAGGACGACAAGACCCUAUGAAGCUUUAUCUUAAUUGGAGUUUUUGGCUCUUAUACGAUUUUGAUGGGAGAUCAGUGAAAAUAAGUCUUUCACUAUUAUAUAAAUCUAACUCGUAUUUCCUAACUUUAUAUGUGUGGCUAGCUACUCUAGGGAUAACAGCGCAAUUUCUCCCGAAAGAUGGUAUUGGAGGGGAAGAUUGCGACCUCGAUGUUGGCUUUAGAUAUCCUAGAGGCGUAGAAGCUUCUAAUGGUGGGUCUGUUCGCCCUUUAAAAUCUAACAUGAGCUGAGUUCAGAACGGCGUGAGCUAGUUCAGUUUCUAUCCUCUUUUAAAAAUGAGCUAAUUUUGUACGAAAGGACUUUUUCGCUAAAGCAACGCUUUGCCCUGGCUCUGUCAUUGCUUAAAUAAUGCUACGCAAUAAACUGAUUAGUUUAUAAAAAGGGUUG
rnacentral:rRNA from 1 species